rnacentral:lncRNA from 1 species
GUUCCAGGUACUAGACCAUCAUUAUCCAUUAUUUAAAAAUGCAUAUCAAAAAUGCAAACUACUCGACUUUAGAUAUUGCUUUUACUUACCUAAAAGGCAACUAGAAUCUUUUUCCUGCCAAUUCAUGGAUCUAGAGAUAAUAUCAGAAUGAUUUUUUUUCAAGGACUAUGGAUACUGAAUAUAAAUUUUUUUCCUAUUCCUUUCUCCCGUUCUAGCCAGAGUAAUAAUGUUAGGUCAUAGCUUCAUUUAUCCCCCCACACCUCCCUCUCCUCCUCCAACCAAGGAUUGAAUCCGGGGGCACUUAACCACUGAGCCACAUCCCCAACCUGUUUUAUUUUUUAUUUUUAGACAGGGUCUUACUAAGUUGCUGAAGUUGGCGUUGGCUUUGGCUUUGAACUUGCAAUCCUCCUGCCUUAACCUCCUGAGUCGUUGGGUUACAGGUGUGCACCACCGCACUUCUCUUAAUACAUGUUUUGAGGCCUUGUGCUAUGUAAACAUGUGAAGAAUUGAGGCGAUUCAUCUCAGAGCCCUGGAGAUAACUGCACCCCUGAUCUCCUGAAGCAUGUGUUCAAAUUGGAGAUACAUGAACAAACACACAGGGUAAUUUCAGCCAGCAAUGAGAACUAUGGACAAUUCAAAGCAGGAAAAACUUAUUUAGAGGUUGGGAAGGGCUACUUCAGCUAGGUGGUUCAAGAAAGCAGCCUUCCCAAGAGGGAGCUUGGGACUGCAGCCUAAAAGGUAGAGGGAUACUGCAGGAAAGGAAGCAGCAAGAGCAGAGAUUCUGAGUCAAAAAUAGGAAUGCUGUGAUGGAGUGAUAGAAAUAGGACUGGUGUGCCUGGGUUAUGACAGAGAGGAAAGAAGGGUGUGUAGGGAGGGGAGAGAAAGAGACAUGAGAAGAUGGUGAAAAGGUGGGCAGAAAUCAGUUCCAUUUUUUAUCCCAAAUGUAGCAAUGCAUUACAACCAUCUCAAUAAGUGUGCAAACCUGAUCCCUAAUACCUGUAUUCAAUAAAUAGUGUCAAGACAGUGGAGAGAGAUAGAGGGGAUACUCUUCAAAAAUGACAAUAGUUCCAUCAGUUCCUUGGCAUCCCACAAAGAAGCUUACUACACCCCCCUGUUGUUGAUUGUCCCCAAGAUGGUCACAGACCAGCUUGUCACUCCUCUGACAUGACAGCAUAAGGAUUGUCUGCUACCCUUAAACCCUGAUGUUAUCCAAUGCCAUUUUCCACAUCUCUGUCACAUUACUGGUCCUAAACAUCAUAGGUUUAGGGCAAUCUGAGGUGAUAAAAAAGCUUAGUUAUGACCAUGUCACUCAUGGUCUGGGGGUUACCUAUACACAUCACCUGGAAAUGAGACACUGGACUCCUCUGCAAUUAGAUCCCCCCAGACCCAGCCACAGAUUCUGUUCCUUAACCUGGAAAACAGACAGGGAUUAGAUUAAGCACAGGAAACUCUUAGUUCUCAAAAAUCAACAAAAUCAGUUUUCCACCUCCUCUUCUUCUCUAUCUUUGCUGUGCUGAGACACCUGUGUAAUCUUAAUGAGAUGCAUUGCACUUGUAUCAAACCUUCCACAGAAUGUAUUGUGUGGUCUUUUCCCAGGACUCACAUCCAUUUCUAUGGUCUGAAUUGUAAAAAACAAUAGCCAAGUAAAAAUUCCAGUGUUCAGCUCUUCCUGUUGUAUUAUUUUUUCCUUGAGUAGAUAAAUGCCUAGGAAGUCAUGCUGCAAUAAAGCCAAAAAUUACAAGAACACAUUGGAGGAAAACAUAUUAAUAUUUCAAAAUAGUACACUAUCAUAGAGCUAUAUAGACGGCCAUCCCUCCAAAGGGGACCAUUGAUGAAUGUCCCAAUUUGAAAGGAUAUAUUAAUGUUUUUCAAUAUCUACUCUUUGAAAAACAGCAGUAAUUUUAUUCUUAUAGACAGAGAUACAAAAAACAGAAAGUAAGAAAUAAAGGAGAUAGCAACAUCUCUAAAGCAAUUUGUAGAAAUGUGGUGAGGUCACAUUUUCAGAAAAUCCACUCUGUGCCCCAUAUUCAACUCACAAUAUGUUUUGGGCAAUAGAAUGUUAUCCUCCUAUGCAGAGUUAAUAAC